CUACUCUCCCCGAUUCCCAGUCGUCGCCAUCCCCGCCGCUGCAUGCCUCCCCCCUAAUCUCAACGGCCAGCGAGCCUCCCCCUUCCUCCCUCGGCCAGCGCGCCUCCCCACGGUCCAGUCCAGAUCGGCUCCAACGUGCCGCCGCCGACAUCUUCCCCUGCGUGCUGUUGCCAGGCGCUGGAUCCUGAGCGCCGCUGACGGGCCGUGGAUCCCACGCGCCGCCGCCUGUCCAUGGAUCCCGCGCACUGCCGUCGCCUCCCGAGACCACAACGCGCCACCUGGUGGCCGCCGCUGGAGACCCCCUGCCUCCUUCCUCCCCGCGUCGGGUGGGUGGUGCAGCACCGGAGCGCCGUCGAGCACAGCUGGAGAUCCCUCCUGCCUCCUUCCUCCCUGGAAUCACGUCCACGGCCACUCCAUCGCCCCCAGCACGGGCGCGCGUGAUCCAGCGGCAGCGAGCCUCUGAUGGGGGGUUUCAGGUGCAAAAAAGUUGGAUGUAGUGAUAUGUUGGUUUUCACAGGUACUCCAAAUAUUGGGAAAAAAGAGUUUUCUUCUCCCAAAUGCAUCAAAGCCGUGAAGUGCUAAUUCUUCUUGUGUGCUUCUAUAGAGCCUUGUGUUUCAGUCA